AUGUCGAGCAGCCGAAGGAGCACGCACUUCUGGAGCGAGGAGGAGACGGCUUUCCUCCUGCAGACUCUGAAGGAGAUGAACAUCGACCGCUACAGAGACGGACGCAAGCACCGCAACAGCCUGAUCUUCCGGAGGGUCUGCGCGCGGCACAAGGAGGCGGGCUUCACGCGCUCCUGCGACCAGGUCAAGCACCGCUGGAAAACACUCAAGUCCAUCUACUACAAGGCCAAGAAGCAGAGCAGCAGCAGCUCUAACGCGGCCUUCAAACACUUCGACACGAUGGAGGAAAUCUUCGGACACAGACCUGUGGCUGUCAGCACCGACACCGAGCCCGACAGCAAGGGCUUCACCUUCGAGGAUGGAGAGGAGGAGGAAGAUGAGGAUAAUGUGGUGGAUGACGUGGAAGCUGGGAUUCAGGAAAUCCAGUCAGUGAAAACCGAGAAUGAGCCCCUGAUCCUCACACAAGCGUCACACGAGAGCUCCACGACAUCCACCGAGAGCUUCACCUCCACCUCCACCUCCACCCAGCAGAGCGCAGCUCCAGGCGUGCUGAAGCGCAGGCGGUCGUGUUGUGCUGCGCUGCACAGUCAGUAUCAGGGCUUUCUGGAGAGACUGCAGCGGAGCCAGAACACAUGGCUGGAGCGCCAGCUGGAGCAGAGUCACCUCCGAGAGGAGCGUCUGAUCGCCCGAGUGCUGGCCGAACAUAGCCGGUCCAUGGAGGCCUUAGUCAGCCAGCUCUUCUCAGGCUUGAGGAGCCUCCUGCCCUCGUCUCCGCUCAGCACACAGCCUGACGCCAGCCCAGCGCAGAGCAGGACUGAGUCCUGAAUCACACACACACAGCUCUCAGAGACUCGAGGAGCACCUCACACACUCUUCAUCCUGAUGCGGUCUUCUGCAGCCCUGCACUGGUUUGUUAAAGGUAGCGAUAAUGUAGCAAUCCAGCAUCUGUUUAACACUGGUAGGUGUUUGUUAUUGUUUCAUUGUACCACAUAGCUUCUGUAAAAGUGUUCAUCAAAUGUUUAGUCAUGAAUAAAGAUGUGAGUGUGUGUGUGUGUAAUGUGAUUUUCUCAUGAGCCUCAUCGGUUUAUUUUAAAUAAACACUGAAAGUGUUUUGUGUGUAAUACAUUUCAAACAUCAAAAAAAUAUUUUUGC
rnacentral:lncRNA from 1 species